rnacentral:rRNA from 1 species
AUUGAACGCUGGCGGCAUGCCUUACACAUGCAAGUCGAACGGUAACGGGCCUUCGGGUGCCGACGAGUGGCGAACGGGUGAGUAAUACAUCGGAACGUGCCCGAUCGUGGGGGAUAACGAGGCGAAAGCUUUGCUAAUACCGCAUACGAUCUACGGAUGAAAGCCGGGGACCGCAAGGCCUUGCGCGGACGGAGCGGCCGAUGGCAGAUUAGGUAGUUGGUAGGAUAAAAGCUUACCAAGCCGACGAUCUGUAGCUGGUCUGAGAGGAUGAUCAGCCACACUGGGACUGAGACACGGCCCAGACUCCUACGGGAGGCAGCAGUGGGGAAUUUUGGACAAUGGGCGCAAGCCUGAUCCAGCCAUGCCGCGUGCAGGAUGAAGGCCUUCGGGUUGUAAACUGCUUUUGUACGGAACGAAAAGCCUUCUUUUAAUACAGGAGGGUCAUGACGGUACCGUAAGAAUAAGCACCGGCUAACUACGUG